rnacentral:rRNA from 1 species
UGGGUAACCUGCCUGUAAGACUGGGAUAACUCCGGGAAACCGGGGCUAAUACCGGAUGCUUGAUUGAACCGCAUGGUUCAAUCAUAAAAGGCGGCUUCGGCUGCCGUUUACAGAUGGACCCGCGGCGCAUUAGCUAGUUGGUGAGGUAACGGCUCACCAAGGCGACGAUGCGUAGCCGACCUGAGAGGGUGAUCGGCCACACUGGGACUGAGACACGGCCCAGACUCCUACGGGAGGCAGCAGUAGGGAAUCUUCCGCAAUGGACGAAAGUCUGACGGAGCAACGCCGCGUGAGUGAUGAAGGUUUUCGGAUCGUANAGCUCUGUUGUUAGGGAAGAACAAGUACCGUUCGAAUAGGGCGGUACCUUGACGGUACCUAACCAGAGAGCCACGGCUAACUAC